AGGUGGGAGGAUUGCUUGAGCUUAGGAGGUGGAGGUUGCAGUGAGCUGAGAUCACGCCACUGCACUCCAGCCUGGGUGACAGAGUGAGACCCUGUCUC
rnacentral:miRNA from 1 species